AGACUUUAUUUUUCUUAUGUUAAUCUGUCUUAUGUCAGAUUGACUAUUAGACCAGCUAUAGAACCCAGAAGGGUAAAAGGAAAAUUUUUCUUCCUCAGCGUCUGCGAAAAGUAAACUGGGCCCAGUGACUUUUUGAACUUCCACUUUCAGCCCUUGUCCCCUUCUUUGGGCCAGGCUGGAGUGACACCCGGAUGACCCCCAUUGCAUGGCCGUGCUGGGAUUACUGCCACCUCUUACAGAUCACGGUCUGGGUCCUCAGCCCUGCCCUUUCUCCCAUGUCAGGAAUGAUUCCCUGGAAGCUGUGUGAUGUCCCUCCCUGGCUGUCACAGCUGCUCUGAGUUAGAGAGGGCAGUUAGCAUGCCUGUCCCCACCUGUCCAGCUCACCUCUAAGUAAUAGGUCUCCACUUUGCCCAGCCUGACAGCCUUUUCAGCAGCAAUAGAACAGGAGGUGAUGCCUCCUCCUGUCCCACAUAGAAAGGAGAGGCCACUAUCAGCCCUACUGUUGUCCAACCAGCCCUGGGUGCUGGUAUAGUAUGGGGCCAGUUUCCAGGUCACCAGUGUACUAGGACCAUCCUCUCUUGGUCAUAGAGCUUGGCUCCUACUUUAUACCCAUGAGGUCUUGUCUUCUAGGGUGAGGACCUAGAGCUGGGAGGUACUGGAAGGCCCGGGCCUUUGGGAACUCCUCCCCCAGGGAGCAGGAGGGGGCUAUGAGGCUUCCUCUUCCUCUUAGGUAAUGUCCCCUUCUGCCCUUCUCAGUGAAUGGCACUUUUUGGCAGACCCAUUUUAUUUCAUAAAAUAUGAAUAUGUAAUUGCACAGGGAGAAAAGGCUGCUCAUCAGCUGUCUUAUUCAGGCUCCCUGUAUCUCCCUUGGCCACCAUCCUGCUGGGAAGGAUGGCAGCAGCAGUUACCUGAACUCUGUUUUUUUGUUACCUGCAGCACCUAGAACUGCUCCAGUUGGCAGUACCUUGAGAUGCCAGAGAAUGCUUCUCUAUGCCUCUAUUUCAUCAUCCUUUUUUUUUUAAUUGAAUUUUUUUGGGGUCUUUUCUAGGGCGCACCUGUGGCAUAUGGAGGUUCCCAGGCUAGGGGGGUCGAAUCAGAGCUGCAGCCCCCGGCCUACACCAGAGCCACAGCAAUGCGGGAUCCGAGCCACGUCUGCAUCCUACACCACAGCUCACGGCAACGCCGGAUCAUUAACUCACUGAGCAAGGGCAGAGAUCGAACCCGUGACCUCAUGGUUCCUAGUCGGAUUCGUUAACCACUGUGCCACGACAGGAACUCCGAGAUCAUCAUUCUUGCCCCAACCUGCUUAGAGAUUGCUUGGAAGAUUAGGGGCAGAUAACUGGUAGGAAAAGUUUUACUUUGAAGCAGCCAAUACUGGGCAGCUCUAGAGUUCAACAUUAAGUCUGGUGGUGAAGACAAGCACCUGGAAACAAAGCGGUUGAUUUUGUUUCAUCAGGCCUUCUCACGAACAUAGCUGGCUCCCUGUUGCCCAUCCUCAGUGUCCCCUCAAAGGCUGAAGCCACUUUAACAACCUUGUCUGGAAUGUUCCACUGCAAUGAGGCUGAUCUCCACCUAUUUCCACAGAGCCCACAGGUUCUGUCUGGGAGCCUUUGCUGUCACUGUUCCCAGUCCCCCCUGAGGUGUCUGGGCGUCUGCAAAUUUUUAUAGCUUUUCAUGCUUGGGUUUUCCCCUGGGCACCUGCAGAUGACCCUUUGUCACUGGUUAUCUUUGUGUAUGCUCACCUGAACGUGGCUGGAGACAGACCUGAAAGCACGCUGGUCAGAGAUGCUUGAGGCAUGCCCAUUGCCCUCCGGUGGGCCCUUCUUGAAAUUGAGAAUUCAUGCUCCUUUCCUGUUCCAUUUUCCCUCCCAUUCUCCCCGGCUCUUCAACCCCACACUCUCAGUUGCUGGCCCUGCUUUCUAGCCCUCUUGAGAAAACAGGGUCACUCUCUGGAGACUUACAUGCAGCCAGUAUCCCCCUUCUUCCUGUUACUGUGGGCUCACCACCCUACCCCUUCACUUGCUCCUGGAAGUCACACUGGCAUCUCUCCCCUUUCUCCCCUGCCCCAUCAGAUCCUCCCCUUCCAAUGGCUCCUUCCCACUAGGGUGUAGGCAUUCUGCAACACUGCCCAUCUCUGUAACAAAAACUCCCUAGGAGUUCCCUGGUGACUCAGUGCAUUAAGGAUCUAGCAUUGUCACUGUUGCGGGUUAGGUUGCUGCUAUGGCAGGGGUCUGAUCCUUGGCUCCAGAACUUCUGUAUGCCAUAGGUAUGGCCCCCCCCCCAAAAAAAAUCCCACAAAAACAACCCCCCCAAAACUCUCCAGACCCACAUCUCCCUCCAGUGCUGCAUUUCUCUGCUCCACUUUAGCCCAGUCUAUACUUGCUAUCUCCAAUUCUUCUCCAUUUUCUCUCUCUCUGCUUUUUAACCUUUUUAUUACAGAAAACUCCAAUCUAUGCAAAAAUAGGUAGACUUGUGUAAUGAACCCUCCUGAACCCAUCCUCCAGCUUCAGGUGUUACCAGCUUUGGACAGUCUUGUUCCAUCUAAAUCCCUACCCAGGUCUCCCUCCCAUCUUACUUUGAAGCACAUCUCAGACAGCAAUCCUUUUAAUUGCAAAUAUUUCAGCUCUAAAGGUAAGGACUCUUUUUUUUUUUAAUUUAUUAUUAUGUCUACCACAACAAAAACCUCAACCUCCCCACAUGUCCAGUAUUUGAAUGUUAUACAUUUUUUUCAACGUUAUACAUUUUUUCCAACAGUUAUACUUUUCCAAAAAUGUUAUACAUUUUUUUCCAAAAAUGUUUGUUAAUGCAUUUUUUCUCUUAGUUUGCCUGAAUCAGAGCUUAAAUAAGUCUACACAUGGUGAUUGCUGUGUCUCUUAAGUCUUGUUUCAGUCUGUAAGUUCCUCCUCCAUCUCUUUCAUUUUUCCUUGUAGUUUAUCUGUGGAAGAAUCUAGGCCAUCUGUCCCAUGGAUUUUCGCACAGUCUGCAUUCUGCUGCUGCAUCCUCCAUGGUGUCAUUUAACUUGUUCUUCUAUUCUCAGUAUUCCAGUGAAUUGGAAAUUGUUCUCCCUGGAAUCUACGAGGAUGAGGCUUUUUUUUUUUUUUUGUCUUUUGUCUUAUUCAUUUAUUUUUUGUCUUUUUGCCAUUUCUUGGGCUGUUCCCGUGGCAUAUGGAGGUUCCCAGACUAGGGGGUCUAAUGGGAGCCAUAGCCACUGGCCUAUGCCAGAGCCACAGCAACGUGGGAUCUGAGCCGUGUCUGCAACCUACACCACAGCUUAUGGCAAUGCCAGAUCCUUAACGCACUGAGCAAGGCCAGGGAUCGAACCCACAACCUCAUGGUUCCUAGUUGGAUUCGUUAACCACUGAGCCAUGAUGGGAACUCCUGGUCUUUUGUCUUUUUAGAGCUACACCCUUGGCACAUGGAGGUUCCCAGGCCAGGGGUCUAAUUGGAGCUACAGCUGCUAGCCUAUGCCACAGCUACAGCAACGCCAGAUCCAAGCUGCGUCUGUGACCCACACCAUAGCUCAUAGCAACGCCGGGUCCUUAACCCACUGAGAGACACCCGGGAUUGAACCCACAGCCUCAUCAUUUCUAGUCGGAUUCGUUUUUGCUGCACCAUUAUGGGAAGUCUGAGGAUGAGGCUUUUGCUGCCACCUCUCCAUCCUGUUGGUUUUGCCAAAGCUCUAAUGACGUCCAUGGUGUGAAAGCCAAGGGUCAUUAAGCCAGUGGUAUUAAAGUUCAAGACUUUAUUUUCCUGCCCUCUCAGCUGAAUUUCAUG
rnacentral:lncRNA from 1 species